AAUAGAGUGCCUGAUAAAAGGGCUAUUUUGAUAGAAUAGAUCAUAUAAAUACUUAUCUCUAUUA
rnacentral:tRNA from 1 species